UCUCUUUAACUUUUUCCAUUACCUUUCAAUAUUCCUGAUGCUGUUUCUUUAAUUUACUCUUUCUUCCUGAUGAUUGCACCGUUUUUCAGAGGAUGACAGAGCGAAAAUAUCUCGUUAAAGGAAAAGUACUGAGAUGACAGAAGCGAUGCCUUUAUUUAUAACUUGCUGCUACGCACAAGGAGCAGGAGGAGAUGUUAUUUACUGCGUUACAGCAUCGUCCAUGAGAACUGAAAUGAUGCCUGACAAUGUCUCGCUGAUCCCCGUGACUGCUGGACGAGAGUGGAGUUACGCCGCGGCAUGUGGUGGCAUUUCUUACCCGAGAUGGCGCUUACAGGAGCAAACUGCAUUUACCAAAAUUACGGGGCGUUCCUACAGCGAAAUGUGGAAACGUGAGGCAGAUGCUAUGCUUUUGAAGUAUUAAACAUUGCUGAUUAGUUUAAAUAAUACAGUAACAUUUCCCCAAUAUCUGCGGAAAGAACAACACUUUUUAAAUAACUAUACGGCUGGAUUAGGAGAGGACUAUAGCCAGUAAUGGCGUGGUGUGGUUUCGGGCCCUGCAUGGCUACACCGACAGCAGUUUUGCAUUGCUGAUGGCGAUUUGAGAGCUGCUGUGAUAAUCCUGUCUGCUGAGGAUGAGAUGAAGCAUUUCGGAUUUCAGCGCCCGGUAUACAUGGAAGGUUUCUGUAUUACAGACUUAGCAGUUUGCACAGUUUGGUGAAUUCGUUUAGAGAGAUUAGUGUAACACCAGGCUGAAUUUGCAAGUCAGUUUAAACCAUUCUAUUUUAGAUACAUUAACCUUUAAAAUAUAUGUAUAUAUAAAACAUCAGCACUGACUUUGUUUUAAUCAUUUCCAAUGUUCUUCCAGCUUUACUAAAAUGACCUUGAGUAACCUUGAAUGUCUGAUUGAUACAGAUCUUAAUUAUUACUUUGACUUAAUACAGGGAAUAUGAAAAAAUCCCUUCUCUCUCUCUCCCGAUCCAGCUAGCUCCAUCACAAAGUUGGCAGAAGACCUCUGGGCAGAACCGCAACCAGCUGGAGCGACUUCUGGCUCCGUUUCUUUCCACGGCGGAGCAGAGAUGCUCCAUGGGGA